GCUAGAUAUGCGUGAAGAGUGUUUAAAAGUGUGGAGAAAUACUUGUUGAAAUUGGGUCCAAAAUAGGCUAAGAACUCGGACACAUUGCGUUGAAGCACUAAAUGACUUAUCUAGUGUUAUUUAGGGUUAGAAUAUGAUCGAAUACAAUAAAUUUGAUUGAUUACAAGUGCUAGAGAAGCAUGAAAAGUGUUUAGAAGUGUGGAGAAAGACUUGUUGAAAUUUGGUCCCAAAUAGGCUAAGAACUCGGAAACAUUGCGUUGAACCACUAAAUGACUUAUCUAGUGUUUUUUGGGGAUGGAAUAUGAAUAUGUUAAAAUAUAAUAAAUAUGAUUAAUUAAAAGUGCUAGAGAUGCAUGAAAAGUGGUUAGAAGUGUGGAGAAAGACUUGUUGAAAUUGGGUCCAAAAUAGGCUAAGAACUUGGAAACAGUGCGUUGAAGCACUAAAUGACUUAUCUAGUGUUAUUUAGGGUUAGAAUAUGAUAGAAUACAAUAAAUUUGAUUGAUUACAAGUGCUAGAGAUGCAUGAAGAAGUGUUUAGAAGUGUGGAGAAAGACUUGUUGAAAUUGGGUUCCAAAUGGGCUAAGAACUCGGAAACAUUGCGUUGAACCACUAAAUGACUUAUCUAGUGUUGUUUGGAGUUAGUUAGAAUAUGUUAGAAUACAAUAAAUAUGAUUAAUUAAAAGUGCUAGAGAUGCAUGAAAAGUGUUUAGAAGUGUGGAGAAAGACUUGUUGAAAUUGGGUCCAAAAUAGGCUAAGAACACGGAAACAUUGCGUUGAAGCACUAAAUGACUUAUCUAGUGUUAUUUAGGGUUAGAAUAUGACAGAAUACAAUAAAUUUGAUUGAUUACAAGUGAUAGAGAUGCAUGAAGAGUGUUUAGAAGUGUGGAGAAAGACUUGUUGAAAUUGGGUCCCAAAUGGGCUACGAAAUCAGAAACAAUUAGUUGAAUCACUAAAUAACUUAUCUAGUGUUGUUUGGGGUUAGAAUAUGUUAGAAUACAAUAAAUAUGAUUGAUUAAAAGUACUAGAGAUGCAUUAAAAGUGUUUAGAAGUGUGGAGAAAGACUUGUUGAAAUUGGGUCCAAAAUAGGCUAAGAACUCGGAAACAUUGCGUUGAAGCAGUAAAUGACUUAUCUAGUGUUAUUUAGGGUUAGAAUAUGAUAGAAUACAAUAAAUUUGAUUGAUUACAAGUGAUAGAGAUGCAUGAAGAGUGUUUAGAAGUGUGGAGAAAGACUUGUUGAAAUUGGGUCCCAAAUGGGCUACGAAAUCAGAAACAAUUAGCUGAAUCACUAAAUGACUUAUCUAGUGUUGUUUGGGGUUAGAGUAUGUUAGAAUACAAUAAAUAUCAUUGAUUAAAAGUAAUAGAGAUGCAUUAAAAGUGUUUAGAAGUGUGGAGAAAGAAUUGUUGAAAUUGGGUCCAAAAUAGGCUAAGAACUCGGAAACAUUGCGUUGAAGCACUAAAUGACUUAUCUAGUGUUGUUUAGGGUUAUAAUGUGAUAGAAUACAAUAUAUUUGAUUGAUUACAAGUGCUAGAGAUGCAUGAAGAGUGUUUAGAAGUGUGGAGAAAGACUUGUUGAAAUUGGGUCCCAAAUAGGAUAAGAACUCGGAAACAUUGCGUUGAACCACAAAAUGACUUAUCUAGUGUUUUUUGCGGAUGGAAUAUGUUAGAAUACGAUAAAUUUGAUUGGUUACAAGUGCUAGAGAUGCGUGAAGAGUGUUUAAAAGUGUGGAGAAAGACUUGUUAAAAUUGGGUCCCAAAUGGGCUAAGAACUCGGAAACAUUGAGUUGAACCACUAAAUGACUUAUCUAGUGUUGUUUGGGGUUNNNNNNNNNNNNNNNNNNNNNNNNNNNNNNNNNNNNNNNNNNNNNNNNNNNNNNNNNNNNNNNNNNNNNNNNNNNNNNNNNNNNNNNNNNNNNNNNNNNNAUUAAUUAAAAGUGCUAGAGAUACAUGAAAAGUGUUUAGAAGUGUGGAGAAAGACUUGUUGAAAUUGGGUCCAAAAUAGGCUAAGAACUCGGAAACAUUGCGUUGAAGCACUAAAUGGCUUAUCUAGUGUUAUUUAGGGUUAGAAUAUGAUAGAAUACAAUAAAUUUGAUUGAUUACACGUGCUAGAGAUGCAUGAAGAGUGUUUAGAAGUGUGGAGAAAGACUUGUUGAAAUUUGGUCCCAAAUGGGCUAAGAACUCGUAUACAUUGAGUUGAACCACUAAAUGACUUAUCUAGUGUUGUUUGGGGUUACAAUAUGUUAGAAUACAAUAAAUAUGAUUCAUUAUAAGUGCUAGAGGUGCAUGAAAACUGUUUAGAAGUGUGGAGAAAGACUUGUUGAAAUUGGGUCCAAAAUGGACUAAGAACUCAAACACAUUGCGUUCAACCACUAUAUGACUUAUCUAGUGUUGUUUGGGGUUAUAAUAAGAUAGAAUACAAUAAAUUUGAUUGAUUACAAAUGCUAGAGAUGCAUGAAGAGUGUUUAGAAGUGUGGAGAAAGACUUGUUGAAAUUAGGUCCCAAAUGGGCUAAGAACUCGGAAACAUUGCGUUGACCCACGAAAUGACUUAUCUAGUGUUAUUUCUGGUUAUAAUAUGUUAGGAUACAAUAAUUUUGAUUGAUUACAACUGCUAUAUAUGCAUGAAGAGUGUUUAGAAGUGUGGAGAAAGACUUGUUGAAAUUGGGCCCCAAAUGGGCUAAGAACUCGGAAACAUUGCGUUAAACCACUAAAUGACUUAUCUAGUGGUGUUUGGGGAUAUAAUAUGUUAGAAUAGAAUAUAUUUAAUUGAUUACAAGUUCUAGAGAUGCAUGAAGAGUGUUUAGAAGUGUGGAGAAAGACUUGUUGAAAUUGGGUCCCAAAUAGUCUAAGAACUCGGAAACAUUGCGUUGAACCACUAAAUGAAUUAUCUAGUCCUUUUUUGGGUAUAGAAUAUGUUAGAAUACAAUAAAUUUGAUUGAUUACACGUGCUAGAGAUGCAUGAAGAGUGUUUAGAAGUGUGGAGAAAGACUUGUUUAAACUGGGUCCCAAAUGGGUUAAGAACUUGAAAACAUUGAGUUGAACCACUAAAUGACUUAUCUAGUGUUGUUUGGGGUUAGUUAGAAUAUGUUAGAAUACAAUAAAUAUGAUUAAUUAAAAGUGCUAGAGAUGCAUGAAAAGUGUUUAGAAGUGUGGAGAAAGACUUGUUGAAAUUGGGUCCAAAAUAGGCUAAGAACUCGGAAACAUUGCGUUGAAGCACUAAAUGACUUAUCUAGUGUUAUUUAGGGUUAGAAUAUGAUAGAAUACAAUAAAUCUGAUUGAUUACAAGUGAUAGAGAUGCAUGAAGAGUUUUUAGAAGUGUGGAGAAAAACUUGUUAGAAUUGGGUCCCAAAUGGGCUAAGAACUCGGAAACAUUGAGUUGAACCACUAAAUGAUUUAUCUAGUGUUGUUUGGGGAUAGAAUAUGUUAGAAUACAAUAAAUUUGAUUGGUUACAUGUGCUAGAGAUGCAUGAAGAGUGUUUAAAAGUGUGGAGAAAGACGUUAAAAUUGGUCCCAAAUGGGCUAAGAACUCGGAAACAUUGCGUUAAGCCACUGAAUGACUUAUCUAGUGUUGUUUGGGGAUAUAAUAUGUUAGAAUACAAUAAAUUUAAUUGGUUACAAGUUCUAGAGAUGCAUGAAGAGUGUUUAGAAGUGUGGAGAAAGACUUGUUGAAAUUGGUUCCGAAAUGGGCUAAGAACUCGGAAACAUUGAGUUGAACCACUAAAUGACUUAUCUAGUGUUGUUUGGGGUUAGAAUAUGUUAGAAUACAAUAAAUAUGAAAACUGUUUAGAAGUGUGGAGAAAGACUUGUUGAAAUUGGGUCCAAAAUGGAAUAAGAACUCAAAAACAUUGCGUUCAACCACUAUAUGACUUAUCUAGUGUUGUUGGGGUUAUAAUAAGAUAGAAUACAAUGAAUUUGAUUGAUUACAAAUGCUAGACAUGCAUGAAGAAUGUUUAGAAGUGAGAAGAAAGACUUGUUGAANNNNNNNNNNNNNNNNNNNNNNNNNNNNNNNNNNNNNNNNNNNNNNNNNNNNNNNNNNNNNNNNNNNNNNNNNNNNNNNNNNNNNNNNNNNNNNNNNNNNAAUGGGCUAAGAAAUCGGAAACAUUGCGUUGAACCACUAAAUAACUUUUCUAGUGUUGUUUGGGGUUAGGAUAUGUUCGAAUACAAUAUUGAUUGAUUAAAAGUGCUAGCGAUACGUGAAAAGAGUUUAGAAGUGUGGUGGAAAGACUUGUUGAAAUUUGGUCCCAAAUAGGCUAAGAACUCGGAAACAUUGCGUUGAAGCACUAAAUGACUUAUCUAGUGUUAUUUAGGGUUAGAAUAUGAUAGAAUACAAUAGAUUUGAUUGAUUAUAAGUACUAGAAAUGCAUGAAGAGUGUUUAGAAGUGUGGAGAAAGAGUUCUUGAAAUUGGGUCCCAAAUGGGCUAAGAACUCGGAAACAUUGAGUUGAACCACUAAAUGACUUAUCUAGUGUUUUUUGGGGAUAGAAUAUGUUAGAAUACAAUAAAUUUGAUUGGUUACAAGUGCUAGAGAUGCAUGAAGAGUGUUUAAAAGUGUGGAGAAAGACUUGUUGAAAUUGGGUCCAAAAUAGGCUAAGAACUCGGAAACAUUGCGUUGAAGCACUAAAUGACUUAUCUAGUGUUAUUUAGGGUUAGAAUAUGAUAGAAUACAAUAUAUUUGAUUGAUUACAAGUGCUACAGAUGCAUGAAGAGUGUUUAGAAGUGUUGAGAAAGACUUGUUGAAAUUGGGUCCCAAAUAGGCUAAGAACUCGGAAACAUUGCGUUGAACCACUAAAUGACCUAUCUAGUGUUUUUUGGGGAUAGAAUAUGUUAGAAUACAAUAAAUUUGAUUGGUUACAAGUGCUAGAGAUACGUGAAGAGUGUUUAAAAGUGUGGAAAAGGACUUGUUGAAAUUGGGUCCAAAAUAGGCUAAGAACUCGGAAACAUUGCGUUGAACCACUAAAUGACUUAUCUAGUGUUUUUUGGGGAUGGAAUAUGUUAGAAUACGAUAAAUUUGAUUGGUUACAAGUGCUAGAGAUGCGGGAAGAGUGUUUAAAACUGUGGAGAAAGACUUGUUUUAUUUGGGUCCCAAAUGGACUAGGAACUCGGAAACAUUGAGUUGAACCACUAAAUGACUUAUCUAGUGUUUUUUGGGGAUAGAAUAUGUUAGAAUACAAUAAAUUUGAUUGGUUACAAGUGCUAGAGAUGCGUGAAGAGUGUUUAAAAGUGUGGAGAAAUACUUGUUGAAAUUGGGUCCAAAAUAGGCUAAGAACUCGGAAACAUUACGUUGAAGCACUAAAUGACUUAUCUAGUGUUGUUUAGGGUUAGAAUAUGAUAGAAUGCAAUAUAUUUGAUUGAUUACAAGUGCUAGAGAUGCGUGAAGAGUGUUUAGAAGUGUGGAGAAAGACUUGUUGAAAUUGGGUCCCAAAUAGGCUAAGAACUCGGAAACAUUGCGUUGAACCACUAAAUGACUUAUCUAGUGUUUUUUGGGGAUAGAAUAUGUUAGAAUACAAUAAAUUUGAUAGGUUACAAAGGCUAGAUAUGCGUGAAGAGUGUUUAAAAGUAUGGAGAAAGACUUGUUGAAAUUGGGUCCAAAAUAGGCUAAGAACUCGGAAACAUUGCGUUGAAGCGCUAAAUGACUUAUCUAGUGUUGUUUAGGGUAAGAAUAUGAUAGAAUACAAUAAAUUUGAUUGAUUACAAGUGCUAGAGAUGCAUGAAGAGUGUUUAGAAGUGUGGAGAAAGACUUGUUGAAAUUGGGUCCCAAAUAGGCUAAGAACUCGGAAACAUUGCGGUGAACCACUAAAUGACCUAUCUAGUGUUUUUUGGGGAUAGAAUAUGUUAGAAUACAAUAAAUUUGAUUGGUUACAAGUGCUAGAGAUACGUGAAGAGUGUUUAAAAGUGUGGAAAAGGACUUGUUGAAAUUGGGUCAGAAAUGGGCUAAGAACUCGGAAACAUUGAGUUGAACCACUAAAUGACUUAUCUAGUGUUUUUUGGGGUUAGAAUAUGAUAGAAUACAAUAAAUUUGAUUGAUUACAAGUGCUAGAGAUGCAUGAAGAGUUUUUAGAAGUGUGGAGAAAGACUUGUUGAAAUUUGGU
rnacentral:lncRNA from 1 species